rnacentral:misc_RNA from 1 species
GAUGAAGAACGCAGCGAAAUGCGAUACUUGGUGUGAAUUGCAGAAUCCCGUGAACCAUCGAGUCUUUGAACGCAAGUUGCGCCCGAAGCCACUAGGCCGAGGGCACGCCUGCCUGGGCGUCACACGCCGUUGCCCCCCCAUCUACUCCUUCGGGAUUGCGGGGGGGCGGAUGAUGGCCUCCUGUGCGCCUAGCCGCGCGGUUGGCAUAAAUACCAAGUCCUCGGCGACGCACGCCACGACAAUCGGUGGUUGCGAAACCUCGGUUGCCCGUCGUGUGCGUUCGUCGCGCAUCGAGGGCUCGAAAAAAUGCUCGGCUCCGGCUGGGCUUUCAACGCGACCCCAGGUCAGGCGGGGUUACCCGCUUAAUUUAAGCAUAUCAAUAAGCGGAGGA